rnacentral:misc_RNA from 1 species
UUCACAAAUUUUUCAAAAAAAUUUACUUCGCACCAGACAGUUACCGUUUCCUUACAACUGUUAGAGGCCUAUUUCCGUUAGGCAUGACCAUGAAUAUAUGAUGAAAUUUUAAAAUGAAAAGCACAUUUAUGGUUAAAAUUACUAAAAAGAUAAAUUAACCAAAAUUGAAAAGCUGAUCCGGCCAUUUUUUUUUAAGUUUAUAAGCCCAAAAAAUAUUAUAAACAGUGGUUUGAUCAACUUAUAAGCUAAGUCACACACCAUGUAAGGCUCAAUUUUUUUUCUUCUAAUUUAUCUUUCCCGUUUUAUUUCUAGUAAGAGCAGAAGUACAGUUUCUCCAACAUCAAUCGCAUGUUUCAUGGAUUAAAAAAAAUCAAUAUAAACCAAAUAGUACCUAAGCACCAUAGAAUAUAAUCAAUCGCCACCAGAAAUAGUACCACAAUAUCAUCUAAUCUUCAUGCAGAACAAAAUAGGCAGAUCAAUUGCUCCAGAAAAAACAAAAACUAGCAAAAUAAAUACCUUGAAUUAACAUCUAUCUACUAUAAUAGAGACACAAAAUCCAAAUGCAGAGGCAUGAAAACUAAAGAAGGGAUUAGGUGCUAAACCUCCAGCUCUAAUGGCCAUGGAAAAGAGAGCUGGAGCGAUAAGGCCAAGGUUUCAGAGAGAAUGAGGAAACUAGGAGAAAUGAGCAUAAAAACCGAUCUUCAGCGAAAAUGAAGCAGAUUAUACCUGAAAACUA